CCCUUAGAUGUUCUGGGCCGCACGCGCGCUACACUGAUGCAUUCAACGAGUCUAAAACCUGGUCUGAUAGGGCUGGGUAAUCUUUUGAAUGUGCAUCGUGAUUGGGAUAGAUGAUUGCAAUUCUUCAUCUUCAACGGGGAAUGCCUAGUAAACGCAAGUCAUCAGCUUGCAUUGAUUACGUCCCUGCCCUUUGUACACACCGCCCGUCGCUCCUACCGAUUGAAUGUUCCGAUGAAUACCAUGGACUGAGAGUAUGAAUGGGUUCGCCUAUUUCUGCUUCUCGGGAAGUGGAGUAAAUCUUAACAUUUAGAGGAAGGAGAAGUCGUAACA
rnacentral:rRNA from 1 species